ACAUUAGUUGCACCUAAAGCUGUGGCACCAUCAACAGAGCCUGGCCAUGAAGUGUGGGGCCCUCAGACUGCUGUCACUUCAUCUCUGUGAUGGAGAGCAGUGCAGCAGCCUUCAGCAGACAUGCACACUGGACAGCUGGGGCUUCUGGCCAACCAGAUGCAGCCAGGUGGAAUUCCACUGCAAAGCGUACAGCAACUUUGUAUGUGGAAGUGAACAGCAGCAAGGUGGGGUCAAUUGCAUACCCUAUGCCGCUGUGUUUAAGGGAGAUGCUGUUGCUGGACAGGAGCAUGGGGAUGGCAGGCCUGGGGCUCCACUUUACUAAACUCUACCAUUAUUAUAGAAAGUUUAGAGUAGCAUAUGAAAGACAGAAUAGUGUCAUCAGCCAGGAGACAAAAUCCUCUAGAGUGAGCACUUCUCCUGGAUACGAACUUGGUGGUGGUUCAUUUAGCGUCUGUCUAAAAUCAGAGGUAGUUUUUUGUACAGUAAGAUUACAUGAGUCAAUCGGUAAAAGUGGGAAUCACGCCUGUGAGUAAUGUCCCUCAUAAUUCAUUCAAAAACAUUUGCUUCUGUCUUUGCAACUUUAUGCUUUCUGAAUUCCCACAUCGAGUAAACACCUCUGUGGUGACCUUAUAAUCAAUCUUGCAUAUUUAACAAUUUGGAUUUUAACUCAAGAUCUGUUAAAACAAAAUCUGUUUGACUUAUAUUGGAUGUAAAAUAGAAAAGUUAGGAUGGGCUAUUCCAGACAUGUAGAAUUAGUUUCUUUUAUAAUAAGCAGUGUUCCACCAACCUAUGAUUAUUACACUAAAAAUAAUGCUAACGUAUAUUUUAUUUCAUUGUGUGGAUUUUCAAGAGAUACACAGGAUAAUGAAAUAAUAUUAACUAGCUGAAUGCUGAUGCCUAUUUUUUCAGUUUUUUUAACUGAAUUAUUUUAAAAAAGCUUGUAUUUUUACUGUAAAAUUGCGCUUAAUUAGAACCACUCCUAAAUAUUUAUCUCUUUUCUUUUUUUUUUUUAAAUUUUUAAUUGGAUUUUAGGUUUUGGGGUACAUGAGCAGAGCGUGCAAGACCGUUGCGUAGGUACGCACAUGGCAGUGUGCUUUGCUUUGCUUCUCCCCUUCACCCACAUUUGGCAUUUCUCCCCAGGCUAUCCCUCCCCACCUCCCCCUCCCACUGGCCCUCCCCUUCCCCCCCAAUAGACCCCAGUGUUUAGUACUCCCCUUUCUGUGUCCAUGUGUUCUCAUUUUUCAUCACCCGCCUAUGAGUGAGAAUAUGCGGUGCUUCAUUUUCUGUUCUUGUGUCAGUUUGCUGAGGAUGACGUUCUCCAGAUUCAUCCAUGUCCCUACAAA
rnacentral:lncRNA from 13 species